rnacentral:lncRNA from 1 species
GGAAUCAUUCGAGUUUCAUUAGUUGUUAGUAAUUCGAAGAAACAAGAAAUACUUAGAAUAGCAAUAAUGGAGUAAUUUUUAAACGUCAUUCAUUUAAGUACAUAACAUAGGGUUUCAAAGAAGGUCAUAGUUCAAAAGUACAUUUGUUAAAGGAACAAAAUACAAGACAUAAGCAAUUUAAACAGUUGGCCUUCUGGCUUGAAGCUCUUAUAGUUCCUCAUUGAAUC